UGUUGAAAUGAGAAACUGAAGCUAGUUUUAGGUGGUGACAUUAUUUGUUGACUAAGAGGCUAGAGUCCUUGGAGAAACCGGGCUGCCAGGUGUGAUUAAAAGUACUGGAAUAUUGUGUUUUUGCGGCAAAUGCAAAGGAGUUGAAGUUGUCAUGCGCUGUUUGAGCUGCAUGUGGACAGUGAAAAUAAGCAUCUACCAGAGUAUAUUUUCUUAGAGAAGGGGAACAUUCUCUGUAAUGUCAUGAAUGCAUGUGUAAAUGCUUCGUUGGACCGCUGAAAGAGUUUGUCUAAAAUUCCAUGAUUGUUCUUCUUUAAAAACAUCUACCAUCAGUCUGAAUUGUAG